GUCAGCACCCCGCUCUAAAGAACGGGGCAUCAUGCCUCCCUCUUAGAUAGCUGACCAGCCUAAGUCUUAACUGACUACGUUUUUAGAGUUAUGACACCUAUAAAUGCUUUCCAGUUUGUGGCUCUGUC
rnacentral:sRNA from 20 species